GAUGAAGAACGUAGCGAAAUGCGAUACGUAAUGUGAAUUGCAGAAUUCAGUGAAUCAUCGAAUCUUUGAACGCACAUUGCGCCCGCUAGUAUUCUGGCGGGCAUGCCUGUCCGAGCGUCAUUUCAACCCAUCAAGCUUAGCGCUUGUGUUGGAGCCCUGCGGCCGCCGCAGCCUCCUAAAAUCAGUGGCGGGCUCGCUAUCACACCGAGUGCAGUAGAUUACUCUUCGCUCAGGGCGUGCAGCGGGUUCCGGCCGUGAAACCCCCUACUUUUAAAGGUUGACCUCGGAUCAGGUAGGAAUACCCGCUGAACUUAAGCAUAUCAAUAAGCGGAGGA
rnacentral:misc_RNA from 1 species